GAUGAACGCUAGCGGCAGGCUUAAUACAUGCAAGUCGAGGGGCAGCACGGGUAGCAAUACUUGGUGGCGACCGGCGCACGGGUGCGUAACACGUAUACAACCUACCUAUAACAGGGGGAUAGCCUAUCGAAAGAGAGAUUAAUACCCCGUAAUAAAUUGAGUGGCAGCACUUGAUUUUGAAAGUUCCGAUGGUUAUAGUAGGGUAUGCGUUUGAUUAGCUAGUUGGUGGUGUAAUGGACCACCAAGGCGACGAUCAAUAGGGAAUCUGAGAGGACCACCCCCCACACUGGUACUGAGACACGAACCAGACUCCUACGGGAGGCAGCAGUAAGGAAUAUUUGACAAUGGUGGCAACACUGAUCCAGCCAUGCCGCGUGCAGGAAGACGGCCCUAUGGGUUGUAAACUGCUUUUGUACCAGAGAAAACCUACUCACGUGUGAGUAGCUGAUAGUAUGGUAAGAAUAAGCAUCGGCUAACUUCGUGCCAGCCGCCGCGGUAACAC
rnacentral:rRNA from 1 species